rnacentral:rRNA from 1 species
GACGAACGCUGGCGGCGUGCCUAACACAUGCAAGUCAACUUGACUGAAGGAGCAAUCUGACAGUAGAGUGGCGCAAGGGUGCGUAACGCGUAAGUAACUUGCCCCAAGGUAAGGAAUAACGCCGAGAAAUCGGCGCUAAUACCUCAUAAUGCAGCGGAUCCGCAUGGAUAUGUUGUUAAAGGUUUACCGCCUUGGGAUAGGCUUGCGUCUGAUUAGCUAGUUGGUGUGGUAACGGCACACCAAGGCUACGAUCAGUAACUGGUCUGAGAGGAUGAUCAGUCACACUGGAACUGAGACACGGUCCAGACUCCUACGGGAGGCAGCAGUGAGGAAUAUUGGGCAAUGCUCGAAAGAGUGACCCAGCAACGCCGCGUGGAGGAUGAAGGUAUUCUAUAUCGUAAACUCCUGUGAGAGCAGACGAAAGACAGAUUAUUAAUCUGGAUGACUGUAUGCUCAGAGGAAG